CAGCGCCGCGGUAAUACGUAGGUGGCAAGCGUUGUCCGGAAUUAUUGGGCGUAAAGGGCUCGCAGGCGGUUUCUUAAGUCUGAUGUGAAAGCCCCCGGCUCAACCGGGGAGGGUCAUUGGAAACUGGGAAACUUGAGUGCAGAAGAGGAGAGUGGAAUUCCACGUGUAGCGGUGAAAUGCGUAGAGAUGUGGAGGAACACCAGUGGCGAAGGCGACUCUCUGGUCUGUAACUGACGCUGAGGAGCGAAAGCGUGGGGAGCGAACAGGAUUAGAGACCCGUGUAGUCCCUGUCUCUUAUACA
rnacentral:rRNA from 1 species